rnacentral:rRNA from 1 species
UACGUAGGGUGCAAGCGUUAAUCGGAAUUACUGGGCGUAAAGCGUGCGCAGGCGGUUCUAUAAGUCAGGUGUGAAAUCCCCGGGCUCAACCUGGGAACUGCAUUUGUGACUGUAGAGCUGGAGUACGGCAGAGGGGGAUGGAAUUCCGCGUGUAGCAGUGAAAUGCGUAGAUAUGCGGAGGAACACCGAUGGCGAAGGCAAUCCCCUGGGCCUGUACUGACGCUCAUGCACGAAAGCGUGGGGAGCAAACAGG